UGGAGAAACUUCCACAUUCGUGCUUCGGAUGACUCAUUCAUUCAGUGCGUUUCCGUUUUCGCUGUUGGAUUCUU
rnacentral:tRNA from 1 species